rnacentral:rRNA from 1 species
AACGAACGCUGGCGGCAUGCCUAACACAUGCAAGUCGAACGAAGCCUUCGGGCUUAGUGGCGCACGGGUGCGUAACGCGUGGGAACCUGCCUUUCGGUUCGGAAUAACAGUUAGAAAUGACUGCUAAUACCGGAUGAUGUCUUCGGACCAAAGAUUUAUCGCCGAAAGAUGGGCCCGCGUAGGAUUAGCUAGUUGGUGGGGUAAAGGCCUACCAAGGCGACGAUCCUUAGCUGGUCUGAGAGGAUGAUCAGCCACACUGGGACUGAGACACGGCCCAGACUCCUACGGGAGGCAGCAGUGGGGAAUAUUGGACAAUGGGCGAAAGCCUGAUCCAGCAAUGCCGCGUGAGUGAUGAAGGCCUUAGGGUUGUAAAGCUCUUUUACCAGGGAUGAUAAUGACAGUACCUGGAGAAUAAGCUCCGGCUAACUCCGUGCCAGCCGCCGCUGUAACAC